rnacentral:rRNA from 1 species
AGUCGAGGGGCAGCGGGAUUGAAGCUUGCUUCAAUUGCCGGCGACCGGCGCACGGGUGAGUAACGCGUAUCCAACCUUCCGUACACUCAGGGAUAGCCUUUCGAAAGAAAGAUUAAUACCUGAUGGUAUGAUGAGAUUGCAUGAUAGCAUCAUUAAAGAUUUAUCGGUGUACGAUGGGGAUGCGUUCCAUUAGGUAGUAGGCGGGGUAACGGCCCACCUAGCCAACGAUGGAUAGGGGUUCUGAGAGGAAGGUCCCCCACAUUGGAACUGAGACACGGUCCAAACUCCUACGGGAGGCAGCAGUGAGGAAUAUUGGUCAAUGGACGAGAGUCUGAACCAGCCAAGUAGCGUGAAGGAUGAAGGUCUUACGGAUUGUAAACUUCUUUUAUAAGGGAAUAAAACCUCCCACGUGUGGGAGCUUGUAUGUACCUUAUGAAU